GCGUCUAUAUACGUAUAGCAUAUCAAUAAGCGGAGGAAAAGAAACUAACUAGGAUUCCCUUAGUAACGGCGAGUGAAGCGGGAAGAGCUCAAAUUUGAAAUCUUCAAGGUUUUACCUUGACGAAUUGUAGUUUAAAGAAGUGUUUUCUGUUGGUAGUUUUGGUAAAAGUUCUUUGGAAUAGGACAUCAUAGAGGGUGAGAAUCCCGUAUUUGACCAUUAUUUCCAACUUUGUGAUACACUUUCAAAGAGUCGGAUUGUUUGGGAAUGCAGUCCAAAAUGGGUGGUAAAUUUCAUCUAAAGCUAAAUACUGGCGAGAGACCGAUAGCGAACAAGUACCGUGAGGGAAAGAUGAAAAGAACUUUGAAAAGAGAGUUAAACAGUACGUGAAAUUGUCAAAAGGGAAGCGUUUGACACCAGUGUUGUUUUCUCGAAAAUCAAUUAAAAAUGGCUGGGAUUUUGUGUUGUAUUGACUUUAUCAGCUUUCUGCACUUUUUUCCUGUCUUUUUUAAUGCACUUUUCGUUUAACAAGUCAACAUCAAUUUCUUUUGUUGUAAAAGGGUCAUUGGAAGGUGGCUUUCUUUUCGGAGAAAGUGUUUAUAGCCUUUGACUUCUGCAAUCGGAGAGAUUGAGGUCUGCAGCGUAGAUCCUUCGGGGUUAGAUGCAUUUGUGCUAAGUUAUAGCCUUUCAUAGACAACUUGUUGACUAUGAUCAGUCAUGUAGCUUACUCGCUUAUGUCAUUUUACCUACGCUUAGGAUGUUGACGAUCAGCUGAGCGCG
rnacentral:rRNA from 1 species